CCUACGGCGGCUGCAGUGGGGAAUAUUGGACAAUGGGCGAAAGCCUGAUCCAGCCAUGCCGCGUGUGUGAAGAAGGCCUUCGGGUUGUAAAGCACUUUCAGUGGGGAAGAAAGCCUUGGGGCUAAUACCCUCGAGGAAGGACAUCACCCACAGAAGAAGCACCGGCUAACUCCGUGCCAGCAGCCGCGGUAAUACGGAGGGUGCGAGCGUUAAUCGGAAUUACUGGGCGUAAAGCGCGCGUAGGCGGUCUGAUAAGCCGGUUGUGAAAGCCCCGGGCUCAACCUGGGAACGGCAUCCGGAACUGUCAGGCUAGAGGGCAGGAGAGGAAGGUAGAAUUCCCGGUGUAGCGGUGAAAUGCGUAGAGAUCGGGAGGAAUACCAGUGGCGAAGGCGGCCUUCUGGACUGACACUGACGCUGAGGUGCGAAAGCGUGGGUAGCAAACAGGAUUAGAUACCCGAGUAGUC
rnacentral:rRNA from 1 species